rnacentral:rRNA from 1 species
UACGAAGGGGGCUAGCGUUGUUCGGAAUUACUGGGCGUAAAGGGCUCGUAGGCGGCCAACUAAGUCAGACGUGAAAUCCCCAGGCUCAACCUGGGAACUGCGUCUGAUACUGGAUGGCUUGAAUCCGGGAGAGGGAUGCAGAAUUCCAGGUGUAGCGGUGAAAUGCGUAGAUAUCUGGAGGAAUACCGGUGGCGAAGGCGGCAUCCUGGACCGGCAUUGACGCUGAGGAGCGAAAGCCAGGGGAGCAAACAGG